UUUCUCCUCAGCAUUCCUUCAUGUAUUAGCAACUUUCCUAGCAGACGAUGGUGUUUUUAGUGUGGCAGUGGUCAGGUGGCUCUUCUUAACUUCAGCAUACGUAAUUCUGUGAUAGCUUGUUCUUCACUUACGCCAAAGCAAGGCAAACUUUUUUUGCACAGAUUGCUAUGGAUUCUGUUUCUUGAUCUGCGCAGCUCUGAUCGCUUUGACGCAAGGCUUCUUGUCAGCUGCAAGGCAGACUAAUUUAGCUACAGAAGAUGAGUCAACCUUUGUUUUGCUUUUUUUGCCUUUCUGGCUCUCAUACAGCUUCUGACCACAGUUCAGCCGACAACACAUUCUUGGAGGUAAUUGCAGUCCUGUUAAAGGGAGUAAGGGAAGUUCUGUGGUUAGGCCACAGAAAUGUGUCAGGAGAUUAUCUGCACACUUGCUUCUCAGAACAAUCUCAUUGAUGCUUUAGGGGCUUCUGUAUAAUAAUAAUAAUGUCUCACCUGCUCCAGUUGAAUCUAUUCCCCUACUGGGCAGACUAGGCUGGGUAUGCUCUCUAAAUCCCUAAUGCACAUUUGAAACAUGUUUUCCCUCUCAAAGAAUUCUAGGCACUGUAGUUUGUUACGGGUUGCUUAUAAUUAUUACUCUGUGAGAGGUGGACUACAGGUCCCAGAAUUCCUUGAGGGAAAGACUCUGUUGCAAAUGUGCUUAAAGGGUGUGCACAGCCCAAGAUUCUAGAGUUUGCCACAUUUACACCUAGAACUUGCAGACUGCAUAUUAUUAUUAUUAUUAUUAUUAUUAUUAUUAUUAAACUAUGCACCGAUUCAAUAAUGAUAUAUACUGCAACAAUACAAAUGGAUACCUUUAAGAUACCUAGACAAUGAGGGGGAAAUUCAUUUUAUGCAAAUAUAGUGGUACCUUGGUUCUCAAACUUAAUCCCUUCCAGAAGUCUGUUCCAAAACCAAAGUGUUCCAAAGCCAAGGUGCGCUCUCCCAUAGAAAGUAAUGCAAAAUGGAUUAAUCUGUUCCACUUUUAAAAACAACCCCUAAAACAGCAAUUUAACAUGUAUUUUACUAUAUAACGAGACCAUUGAUCCAUAAAAUGAAAGCAAUAAUCAAUGCACCGUACUAUAAAGUAAAUAAAACAGUAUUGUAGAUGAUAAAAAUUAAAAUUAUUAUUUCUUCUUACCUGCACUGAUGAUAGUCGUUGUUUGGAUGGGAGGCUUUUAUCCAUUUCCACAAUCACACAAUCAGUAGCUGAACAGGGUUCCACAUAGUCACAAAAACAAAUUAACCGAAAAAGCCUCAAAAACAAAAACACAAAAUAAAUAGCAAAAACAAAAGCGCCAGACUUAAUCCAUUCUGGAAGUUCAUUUGACUUCCGAAAUGUUCGAAAACCAAGGCGCAGCUUCUGAUUGGCGCAUUGGACAUUCGGCUUCCGAAAAGCAUUCAAAAAUUGGAACGCUUACUUCCGGGUUUUUGGCGUUUAGGAAUCAAGGUGUUUGAGAACCAAGGCGUUUGAGAACCAAGGCAUUUGAGAACCAAGGUACUACUGUACCAUAAAAGUUCUUGGAGUGGGACAUACAGUGGAAAAGCCAAGGGAAAGCUCAUUUACUACCAUAACAACCUUAGAGACCCAUAGCAAAUAAAUGAAACAGAAUAAAAUCCAUCCAUAGUAUUCACAACAAAGGGCAACACAACCUAAGAUCUCAGAGCAAACAUUCUCAACAGGAGGGAAACUGGAAGACAAUUGCAAGGUGGGGAAAACAGAUAGUGGGAAAAGAAUGGAGCAUCUUCCUCCUCACCAAUCCUCUCCCAAUUUCAGCCUCCCAAUGCCACCUUUUAUUUUUUUUAAUCAAAAGAAUGCAGUGCACACCAUAUGUGGUUUCAGCCUCUGUCACUGGGGCUAAAUAGUAACAAUGGUGACAUCCCCCCCCCUUCCUUCCACUAAUGUUUUUAGAUCCAGCGUUAGCAGUUUAUAAUUUUGGCAAAUUAGUUGAGUAUGUGGGUGAAGAAUGGGGACAAGGCAACAAUAAUGCAACAGGUAUAAUCCUCCAACUCCUGCUCCAUAAAUUAUACAUUGAUUUUGGGAAGUGAGUGCCAUUCUUGCAGUCAGUCUUCGAUUUCAUAAAGGCAGGUUUGUAAAUCUCUUUGGAAAUAGACGCAAGCUGUGUAAAGAAGCAAAAAAGUAAAUUCUAUGUGAAUAAGUUUUCCAAGACCAGUUAUAUACAAAGACGCAGAUGAAACGGAGCUUUUUGUUCGUAUAGAUUUCUGCUCAUGCAGGCCUGCGUGUAGAUUUAACAUUUAAUUAUAUGUCUUUGGGGGGGUAAAGCCAGCCAAAAACUGUAAUUAGAUUCCAUGUACUGCAGAGAUAUUUCUGGAGAUAAUCGUGUGGUGGGAGAAGAAGCAAUUCAUGCAAGGCCUCUGCCCAAAUGUAGAUUUAUUAUACACAAACUGUAAGGGCAGAGGGACGUGUGUGCUAUUUUCUGCCAUCUGAGUGUAAUUUAUAUUCUUGUAUGAAUAUUUUAAUAGCAUGCAAAUAUUCCACUCUAAACUGAAGCACCAAACGAAUUCCCCAAUAGAGCAACUGCCACAAAUGAUCACAACUUAAUACUGCAGAAUUAAUAUAGGACAUGUUCUUUCUCCCAUUAUCAAGGAAUAGGCUAAUCUCCAACAUCCCAAACAUUUCUGCUGACAUAUCUGUCUUGCAACAUUCAACAGUGGGCUGUUUCUGUGGUGUGAGCAUAGUAUAGUGUUUUCUGGUGGCAUGUACUGGAGGAGUCAAAUGAGCUGUGCCCCUGGCGCAUGUCUGUUCAGUUGUUUUAUCAUUAGACUGCAAAUGUACAGGGUAAGAACCAAAAAAUGUUUGUCAAAUUGAGGAGCCGCAUAACUCCAUGGCAAUCUGCUGCAAUGCACUUUUAUUUAAAAAUCAUGUGUACGAUCGCUUCCUUGCAAGGUUCUUUAUACACACACACACACACACACACACAGUCCUUGUUCCAAAUAUAGGCUCGGUGUUGAGGGAUACCUUUUCUCCUGCAUGUGGCAGCCUCUUAUGUGAAUUGAAUGAUGGUAAACGACAUUACACCCUCUGCUCAUGGUGGGAUCCUUAAGAUGGUCAAUUUGCCAUGAAAAUGGAGCUCCCUGAUUAAAGGCAGAAAACAGACACCACUAGCAUACGGGAAUUGUAAUUUACAACCCAACAGGGGGAGCUGUAGCAAUGAUGUAAAACUCUGAGUAACGACUUAAGCAAAGAAUCAUUGGGUCUAGUGCACUGAAGGAGGGCAGUGUUGGAACUCUUAAUUCCAUAUAGGUCUAGCGGCGGAGCAAGCUAAUCAGGCGCCUGGGGCCAGCCAGCCAUGGGUCAGGGCCAGCUGCCCAUGGGGGCACUGUGGGGCCUCCAAGGAGUCUGCCUGCCUCCUCCCACUCAGCUGCCCUACAGCUGAGGGGGAGGCAACCGGCAGACUGUUUGGGUCAGUGUGAAGCCUGUAGGCGCUCAAGCCACCGCGUCACUCCCAGGAGAGACUCGUGCCUCAGGUGCACUGCAGGCCCCGUGGUGAGUGCUGCCCACCAUUUUGUCACCCCUCCUCAGGAGGGACACCUGAGACAGGCCUCACCUACCACACACCCCUUGCUAUGCCCCUGUAUAGGUCUCCUCUAAAUCAUGGAUAAUUUCUGUUGUUAUAUUGUAUCUUAUGUUGUGAACUGCCAUGAGCUCUACAGAUGAAGGGCAGUAUAAAAUAGUAAUAGCAAUAGUAACAGUAAUAGUUAAGGUAAAGGUAAAGGACCCCUGGAUGGUUAAGUCUAGUCAAAGGCAAUUAUGGGAUGCAGCGCUCAUCUUGCUUUUCAGGCCAAGGGAGCCGUGUUUGUCCACAGACAGCUUUCCGGGUCAUGUGGCCAGCAUGACUGAACCACUUCUGGCACAAAGGGACACCAUGACGGAAACCAGAGUGCACAGAAAUGCUGUUUACCUCCCCACUACAGUGGUACCUAUUUAUCUACUUGCACUGGUGUGCUUUCGAACUGCUAGGUUAGCAGGAGCUUGGAGAGAGCAAUGGGAGCUCACUCCGUCAUGCAGAUUCAAACCGCUGACUUUCUGAUUGCAAGCCCAAGAGGCUCAGUGGUUUAGGCCACAGCGCCACCCACUUACCUUAAUAAUAGUAAUAAUAAGCCCCUCCCAACUGUCCCCCAGACAGCCGCUUGAGGCAGUUGCCUCACCAAGCCUCCCGGUUUUACUCCACAUUUGUAAAAUAACUGCAAGGAAGGGGAGAAAGACAGCAUCAGUGAAGUGAACUCAUAUCAGUGUGUCUGACCCAUGAGGAAUCGGGAAGGCUGUCAUCACUUAAGCCUCAAGUUUUAGACCUGUUGGGUAAAUUUCAGAGAUAGGAACUCUUAGCUCAUGCCACAGGAAAAGUUGCUGAGCUCAUGAAACUCUAGAGAUCUAAUGAGCUCCUGCUCUUGACAUUGUUUUCUACUUAUAGUAACUGGAUGGUGUCCAAGUGCCUUAUCCCCUCUGCUGCUGCAAUUCUAUGCUCCACCGAGAACUUGGCUUGGAAGAGACUCUGCAUUCCUUUCUGACUCCCCUCACAGACACUCAGCUCAGGGCUCAGAAUAAAUCCAGCAGCUAUUAACACUUUGCAGUCUCUGUGUCUGCUUUCCCUCUUUUUAAAACAAUCGUCUGUCAGCAGGGUGACCUGUGAGGGAAGCCUGUGCUCCCCUUGCUAGGUUGGGGUGAAGGCACUGCCAGCUUCUUUCUCCAAAGUGCAAGGGAGUCUGGCCACUUGCUGUGUUUUCCCUGGGAUUGAUUUAAAGUCCAGUUGCCUGCAGUAGCCCCCCAUGAGAUGGUUCCGGACUGAGAACCACCGUUAAAACUGAUAUUUCCCCAGUGUUUUCAUACAGUUGCAUUUCAUAAGCCUGAAUGAAAGCAUUAAUACAACAAUUGGUAAUAUGAAUCACUUAGUUGGUGAAAUCUACGAGUGUGAGUGUGUGUGUAUUCUUUGUAAGAUUUUAAUCUAAGCUUUCCUCUCUAGCUGUAUGCUCAGGCUUUUGGCUCUGAAUUUAGAUCAUAAUGUGGUAUGAGUUAUGGCCUGUUUUUUGUGUUUGCCCUUUUUAUUAUUGUUGAUGGAUGAAUGUUUUUAUAUACGUUGUUUUGGGGUGUUCUUUGUUUUAAGUCACUUUGAGACAUUUCAUAAAAAGUGAAGAAUGAGUAUACAGUGGUACCUCAGGUUAAGUACUUAAUUCGUUCCAGAGGUCCGUACUUAACCUGAAACUGUUCUUAACCUGAAGCACCACUUUAGCUAAUGGGGCCUCCUGCUGCCGCUGCGCUGCCGGAGCACAAUUUCUGUUCUCAUCCUGAAGCAAAGUUCUUAAUCCGAGGUAAUAUUUCUGGGUUAGCGGAGUCUGUAACCUGAAGCGUAUGUAACCUGAAGCGUAUGUAACCUGAGGUACCACUGUAAUAAAUAAUUCAUUAAGUGAAGAAAGGCCUAAAUGGUCGUAGUAGUGUGAGAAGGGGCAGAUGAUCUAGAUAGUUGUCCACAUUUUCCAUUGGAGAGCUAACAUAUCUAACUGUGUACCGUACUGUAAUAAAGAAAGAAAAGCUGGAUAUUCUGUUUUUCAGACAAAAUAGAUUUGCCAUGUCACAGAGAAUUUACAGCGCUAACUUCCUAGAGGGGAAGGAAGAACAUCACAUGGAUCUUUGAGGUCAGAAUCCUUUGUAUGUACUUUUCAAAGGAUGCAUACCUAUGUAAUGGAAAACUUUCUCACUGUCCACUGCAGAAUGUUAUCACUGUGAGAGUGUAAAUGUGGAGAUAAAUGAGAGUAAAUGCAGAGAUGUGCAUGGUAUACACAUUCCAAACACUUAGACAGGCUCUGAUACAUAGACUAAUUUGGAAGCUCUCUCAUGUUUUUCCUCUGCCAUUGAACUGAUAUAGCCUGUCACACAGAGGGAUGAAUGAAUGAAGGAUGAUAUUGUCCCUUUUUCCUCACCAGCCUUUUAGCACGUUGGCGAGAGAGACAAGAGUCCAACUGACCUGUGUCCGAACCUUGAGUGUGAUGAGACCUCUGAAAAGAAGAAAGAGAACAUCACCACAGGACCUAACCUAUAUUGGGAACCAAGGAAUUUAACAUCCUCUUACCAUCAGCAUAAGGGACCAGGGGGUUUCCCAUAAGUCUGCUGGUAUCUUCCUCUUUCUGCACCAUUGUUGCUGUUUCGCCUAUAUAAGGAGCCACACUUGGAGA
rnacentral:lncRNA from 1 species